CCCGCGCCGGGAGCGGAGGGCAUGGCGGAGCCGCGGAGGGUCUCGUUCCGGGACGGCCGCCUCGCGUCGCGGAAGGCGGAGGAGGCUGCAUGGAGACGGCACCAGGCCGCAGCCACGAGCAUCGUCCAUUCCCAUCGACGAUGAGGGGCACGCAUCAUCUGGUUUUGAAGAACAGUAAGCAUUGCAGAGCGUGCUGAUGGCUUUGAUCAGCAUUGCAGACAUUCUUCCAAGUGAAAGGGAAGCAACGUGGGUUCAUCAGCAGCGGUCGAUGAGACAUUGUCUUGUUCAUACUUCUGAGUGCAAUCGGGCACAUGGAGUACUAUGGGUAGGUACACUGACAAUCAAGGCAUGGCAUAUCUGUACAGGUUCUUAUUUCUUCAAAAUCCCUCAUAUAACUGAAUUUUGUUUCUCCAAUACACUUACAGUCAACUUACAUGCUCAUCAUGAUUAUUUAUAUGUAACUUAUGUUUUAUUGGGAGUCUGAAUUUUCUCUUGCUACUUUCAACUUAUGUUUGAUCAAUUUUCAUGCUCAUGGUGAUUAUUUAAAUGCAACUGUUGCUGAUCUAUAAUUGGCAUGGGAACAUUUAAAAAAGAGCAGUUUGCGCAACUCUAUCACUUAAUAAUUCUUGAUUUCCUGUACUGCAAAGUUUAAAAUGCAUAGACAAUGCUGCAACCAUAGGAAAUAUACAAAUAGACAUGCUGGGAUUCUGUACACAAUUUCACUGUGUCAAUAUUUUUUGUUACUGGCUUCAAGUAACCUGCUUUCUUUAAUAUUGACAGUGCUCCUGUACAUGCUGGGUUUUGGUUUUUCUUAUGGCUGCCACUUGUAGAUUAACUGUAUCGAUAUUGCCGGAAAGGGUGUUGAUUGAAAGGGUUGGAAAUGUCACCACCUUCUUGCCUUGUUCAGAGUACCGUUUUACAUUUAUUAUUAUCCAGUGCUCUAUUGGUAGGCUGUAGAGACUUCGAUGUUUAUUGUAGUACAAUCUUUUCUGUGUUUCUAGGUCCUCCUAGAGGGGACACCACAUGGGUGACUUCGUUCCUCAGGAAGAACUUGAGAAGUUCAUGGCACGUUGUACUGAUCCUGCAGCACAAAAGGCUACCAAAGAAGCUGCGAGAAGGCUAAGAUUCAGGCUGACAAUAUUGGCACACGCUUCUGUCUAAGAUGGGCCGGAGGGAAGGUUAGUCCUUGAAUACUUGAUACCAGAGUUCCACUUCUCUAGUAAAUGCCUUUUGGCAUUAUAGAAUCUUACUUAACCUUAUGGUUUUUUUGUCAAAUAUCUUAUGGUUUUUCCUUGUUUUAUUUUAGGGUUUCUGAAGUUUCUUCAGUUCUGCAUCAUAUAGUAGAAUGUGGUUAACUAUAGCAGUAUGCUUGUUGCUAGAGAUCGACGUCGAUAGCUUUAGUUUGCCUAGAGUUUGUACCUGAAUGCCGGAAGCUUCAGUGUGCAAGUGUUAGCACCUGAACAUUUUCUCUGUUUAAAUUUUACAACGCUAUGUUUUCUGUAUAAAAUUUUGUUUUUUUCCUGUCUAAUGGAAAUUGCUGCACGAUCAACCAGUGCGGAAUUAGAAUGAUUGCUUUGCAACUUCAGUAUGUAACUUAUAUUGCUUUUUUCCUGUCUUAAGGAAAUAGUUUCAAAAUCAACAAGAGCUGAAUUGGGGUCAGCAAUAUUGCUUUACAACUCUGGUGUGUCUUGGAAGGAAGAAUUCUAAAGCAUGAGAAGUUUAUCAAUGCAGAACUUGAUAGAACCUGACAAAUUAUAAGUAAGUUGCAUUGCACAACUAUUGGAAAUUGUAUAAUUAAAAAAUCUACAGGAAUUCUUUCUCCACACAGAAUACGAGGAUAAUGCGCACUAAUUUCAUACUUAUGCAUUUAUAUAAUAUCAUAGGAUCCACCAGAAUGGAAAGAGAAUGCAGUUUAGGCAGGAUAUCUUCUAUAUAAAAAGCAAAAUUGGGGCCCUAGAGAUCUAUUGUUUCUUGUGAAAAACUGAAUUCCCAACAUACCUUUUUUUGUCAUGAAUAUGGACAUGUUUGCGUCAUGACCAUUUCGUCAGAUUAUUCGUGAUCCUUUUCUCUUGAUUGUCUGAAAAGUAAUCCCCAUGUAAAUGUCACUUGACCUUGGGUGGACGGAGUGCAUGGGGGACUGCCUACUGAUCUUAGUUACACCAUGAUGUUGGCCCACGAGUAUCGAUGAUAUCAUAGAAUCUGUGAAUAUAUUUUAGCAAAAGUGUCUGAUUCCCAAGAAGCGGGUUCUGAACUCCCACUUCUCUUUGAUUUUUACAAGCUAGCUCACAAGACAUCAGGUUAUUUGUUUGGUGCAUGGCUCCCAUAUGGUUGCCUUUAUAAUGUAAUUUUUUGGUUUUAUAUUCUUAUUUAAGUACUUCCUCCGUUUCAUAUUAAUUGACUUCAAUAUGGAUGUAUCUAGAACUAAAAUGUGUCUAGAUACAUCCAUAUUAGAGUAAAUUAAUAUGAACCGGAGGGAGUACUAUUUUCCUUCAUUUUCAUUAUCUGUUUGUAGACUGCAGUCUCAGCCGUGUCCACUUGGCACUUUCUGGUCUUUGAUUGUAGCCUUAACUGUUGUCGUGCGUGCCUGUUGCUGUUGUUUCCUUCCUUUCAGUGAGUAUUGUGUUGUGGUUUCACGUCAAAUACUCACAACAUGACAGCACAUGCCUGGGUUGUUACCACUUACCAUCCGUCUCUCACAUCCAAUAUAUGUAUUGGACGUGGUGGUAAAAUACAUGGUCCAGGCCAUCAUAGAUUUAUUGGUGCUUUCUUGUUCAUGAUGCUCGCACUUCCCCUGCUACAUCUGUUCCAGAGAUUAAAUUUUACUUCAACCUAGGACUAAAUAUAUCAUUUUGGGAGUAUUGCAAAUAUAUCUAGAUGACUAAAUAUAUCUAGAUGUUUGAAAAUAUAUCUAAUUGUAUACCUUGCUUAAAUCCUAAAACUGGAUGGUAUGUUGCAGGUCCGCAAAAAAGUCUGAUUGAACCAUGGCUCAGAAAAUGUGUUCUGCUGAUAUAUUUUGCUCAAUAUGACUGAUAUGUCAUGAUGAUGUACAUUAGGGGCUGCUUCAUUUUUAAGUACAAAUCUAAGUGAACUAUCAAGGUUCCUCAUUUAACAUGUUUAUGAGCUCAACAACUUUAUAAAUUGUCUUGUGCUGAUAAAUUUUUAUUAGUAAUUGUGGAGGUAGUGCAAAGAACAAUUGUAUGCUCACCUGGAAUUGUCGCAUUGUUCUCAGAAUGUGUUACGUGGACAGUCUCUCAUUAUCUACUUUGCAUCCAGUUGCAACAAAAGAAGCGUAUGUGCUCUGGCUUUCUACCGGUUGACUAAUGAUCUGUAUGAGGAACACUAUUAUCUCUGUCUCAUUCUUUCCUCUCAAUCAAGAGAAUACCAUAUCUCCGGCUAUAUCGGAUUCGGUAUCACUACUAAAAAGGGAGGCAACAAGGGCAUUUUUUCUAAGCAAGCAGCAGAUGUCCAACAUUUGCUAUCAAGGUAAACUAUUCUCAGUUAUAUGGUUAAACUAUUUUCAGUUAUGUAUCCAUUAUUGUGAUGAACAAGUCAGUUUUCAGGAUCUUAGUCUAAGCACUUCUACGAUAUUACCAUAACAACUGUCAGGUUCGAUUGGCUUAUUUUUCUUUGGUGAGGGCUUCCAUUGUUAUUACCUAGAUGGCUAUUGUCAAGCUCUUAUUUUUAUUUAUAGCAGUUUCUUCAGUUAGUAGCUUAGUAUGUUUGUAUACCUACCUAUAAAUAUGACAGCAAGUUGCAGAAUUUCCAAAAGCAAUUUUAGUCCACGCCUUGAUUAUAAAUUAUCGAUACCGACUUGUGUUGUUUAUGUUGGGUUCAUAGGUCAGGUGUUAUAAACCUGCUCUUAUCCAGUUCUCGCACAUCUUUUUCUGUGGAUUUUGCUAUCAAAAUCUGUCCUCGUGGCCCUGGAUUUCCUUUGUGUUUCUUUUAUAUAGGUGGCAGAUGUUGAAUUCAAUAUAGCCAGUGAGAAGUUCAUGCUAAAAAGGUGUACGGGCUCUACAUGUGGUAUUGUUUACUCCCGCUGGGACCUCAAUUUACUCUUGGUCGCGAUUUAGUGUGAUACCAGCAGACUGAGUUGUAUUUGUGUUUGGCUAAAAAUGUGGAGUUUUCCUAUGUGUUACUAUACACAAUAUUGCAACUUUGGUUUAUUCAUAAUUUUGGAAGUGGCCUAAAGUUCUUAUACCUUGGACUUAUUCCAUGGGAUGUUGUGUUGUCUGCUUGCGUAGAAACUGUAAACUGAAUUGUAGUGAUUAAAAAUGCCAGAAUGAGUUCUGAUGCGGAUGCAAGACCACGGAGGAGGCAAGCCAAGGGAACCCGUAUUGGGCGUUGAAUUAUUUUUCAUUGGACUGGGAUUAGAUCGCACAUCUCUAGUGAGGAGGGAAUGCAGUUGAGGUCGAAGAAUGCCGUUGGAGAGACCAGAGGUUGCCGUGGUGGUGCUUGCCGGAGAUCACGGCGAGAUGCUCUGCUGGGAGAGGAGACCUUGCCGGCGAGGUUGGGGACGAGCUGCUGGUUAAAGAUCAUGUAAUGAUUUUGUAAUUUAGACGCUACUUGCAAAUGUUGGUUCCAUAUCCUAUAAUUUAGAUGUCUGGCUACAAUUUUAAUGCAUGAUCAGGUUACUGUGUUUGAUUAAAAUACCAGGCAAUAUGAUAACUGCAUAUAUUUGUGCAAGCACUAUGAUUAUUGCUUUGUUUUGAAUAGUGCAUGUAAACAUAAUCAAAGGCAUUGUUGAAAACAGCCUUCAAAUGUAAUAUAAGGCAUCAUUGAAAAGUGUA